AGUAAAUGGUUUGUGGGGUUGGUUGUGUGUUUUUUGGAGUAGAACGCUUUAACGCUCGAGGUAGUGUUGGAGAUGGUCAUUUGAGAGGUGGAAGGUUAUGAUAACAGUUGUUUUUGAUGUUAUGGGAUUUUUAUUAUAGGGGUUGAGGGGAUGAUGUUUUGUGUUUAGGUAGUGAAAGUGGACAAGGAGGACAUGUUUGUUUUGGAAGUGAGGGUUGAGGUGGAUCAAAUAUCAUGACACCGAAUGAGUUAAACGAUAUAAGCAUUAACAUCAGAAAAGAUAACCCAAAUUGAUAAUACAAGCAUACAAAUAAAAUAAGAAUUUCAAUAUAAAAGAGUUUAAAAAAGAUUACAUUGUUCCCC
rnacentral:lncRNA from 1 species